UAUAUAUUAGUGUAAAGGGCACGAAAAGUUUUGGUCUUUUAAGGAAUGGUGUAAUUCCAUUAUAUGUAU
rnacentral:tRNA from 1 species